rnacentral:rRNA from 1 species
CGGAGGAAAAGAAACUAACAAGGGAUUCCCCUAGUAACUGGCGAGUGAAGCGGGAAAAGCUCAAAUUUAAAAUCUGGUGGGUCUUUGAUCAUCCGAGUUGUAAUCUAGAGAAGUGGUUAUCCGCGCUGGACCCG